rnacentral:rRNA from 1 species
GAUCCUGGCUCAGGACGAACGCUGGCGGCGUGCCUAACACAUGCGAGUCGAGCGGAGACAGUGAGUAGCUUGCUAUGAGCUGUUUUAGCGGCGGACGGGUGAGUAACGCGUGAGCAACCUUUCCCAGACAGGGGAAUAACACACCGAAAGGUGUACUAAUACCGCAUAAGACCACGGGAUCACAUGGUUCUGGGGUAAAAGAAUUACCGGUUUGGGGUGGGCUCGCGUCCGAUUAGGUAGUUGGUGAGGUAACGGCCC